rnacentral:lncRNA from 1 species
AAAGUAGUCAAAAACCCAUGUGCAACUUUUUUUCAGCACUCUACCAUUAGGCUCCUUAGGCAAGCUGCUUAACUUCCGUCAGAAGCAAAGGUGUGGGAGAACACCAUUCACCUCAGUAGUAACUUAUAAAAACCGUUUAAAGAAGGAAAAUGGGCCCCAGCCCCUAGGAUCCCUGACUUCCUGAUAUUCUAAACAUGAGAGUUCUGUGACUUUAACUGAGCUCUUUACCAGAAGUAACGUGUUGAUGUAUAUUAUCUUUCCACCAUGCUUUGACCAAAGUACAUUCACAGUAACUAGAGAAAGCAGAUCAUCCAUUUCUGGAUAGGUGAACUACGGCAAGGCAGUUAGGAAAGUACGUGAGCCUGAUGACGCGAAGGUGAUGCCUCCAUCUGUCCGCUUAGUGGUUAUUAAAUUGCUGGGAAAGACCUGCCUUUAUUUUCCUAUCAUCUUUUCCCCAUUACUUUGCAUUAUUCAGGAAAUAAUUAUUUAUUCCCAAAUGCAGUUUUCUAAGCAGUGACCACAAAAAUUUCUUAUUCUAAGGAAAAUAAUUAAGAAAAUAACCCUAUCUGUGGCAUUGUUUUAAAAUGUGGGAUACAAAUCUGGUAAGCAGAUUUCAGGUCAUUAUUGUUUUCUUUUAAUGGUUUACAUGAAAUUUUCCUCUCAAAAAACAAGUACCUCUUACUGUAUAACAUUUGAGUUUUUAAAAUUGAGAUAGCUUCUGAGAGAAAAAAAGAAA